rnacentral:rRNA from 1 species
UACGAAGGGGGCUAGCGUUGUUCGGAAUUACUGGGCGUAAAGCGCACGUAGGCGGAUAUUUAAGUCAGGGGUGAAAUCCUGGAGCUCAACUCCAGAACUGCCUUUGAUACUGAAGAUCUUGAGUUCGGGAGAGGUGAGUGGAACUGCGAGUGUAGAGGUGAAAUUCGUAGAUAUUCGCAAGAACACCAGUGGCGAAGGCGGCUCACUGGCCCGAUACUGACGCUGAGGCACGAAAGCGUGGGGAUCAAACAGG